AUGAGUGUUGCAUCGGUUUGUGAUGAUCUAACAAAAUUGAUGAGACAAUAUUGGUGGGGAGUUGAAAGAGGUAAAAGGAAGAUGGCUUGGCUGAGUUGGGACAAACUAAGGCUGCCUAAGAGUAAGGGUGGCAUGGGCUUCAGAGACAUGUGUGCGUUUAACCAAGCUAUGCUAGCAAAGCAAACUUGGAGAUUAUUAGAGUUCCCUGAUAGUCUUUUGCUCGACUAUUAAUUAAAAGCUAGAUACUAUCCUCAUGGCAGUCUGUUGGAUACAAUUUUUACUGGAAAUUCGUCUGCGGUUUGGAAAGGUAUUGUGCAUGGACUAGAGCUGGUGAAGACGGGAAUUAUAUGGAGAAUUGGGGCUGGUAAUUCGGUGACAACGCGGAGAGAUCCAUGGAUCCCUCGACGGUAUGACUUUCGGCCGAUUACCCCUAAGAGGAACUGCCGGUUUAACCGAGUGUCGGAUUUCUUAGACAUCAAUGGAGACUGGAUUGUGGAUCGGAUCCACGAACACUUUUGGCCGAUGGAUGUUGUAGAAAUUCUGAAAAUUCGUACUUCUCCAAGAAAUAGGCAGGACUUCAUUGGCUGGUAUCCCGAGCCUCGUGGUAAUUUUACGCUCAAGUCGGCGUACAAGCUAGCUACUGAUUCACAUGACGAUACUCACGCUGGGGGUGCUAGCAGCAGUAGACCGGAUGGCAAUCGGACAAUCUGGAAUUCUAUUUGGAAAUCUCAGGUCCCGCUCAAGAUGCGCAUCUUGGCAUGGAAGACGGCGAGUGGGGCGUUAGCUACUAACUUGUGCAAGGUACAACGCCAUAUUCCUGUGCAUAGCUCCUGUCCGGUUUGCGUGGAGGAAGCGAGUAGCUUUCAUGCUCUUAUCACAUGCAUGCAAGCUCGGCAAGUGUGGGAUGGUCUGCGCAAGAUUUGGCCACUACGUGAUGAUGUUCUACUAAUUGAAUCAUGGAAAGAUUGGCUCUUGCAAAUCCUAUCAAAUUGCCCAGUACACACUAGGGACACGGUGAUUAUAACCAUUUGGCGAAUACGGCAGCUGCGUAAUGAUAUUACUCAUGGAAAGGGUGAGUCCCGGGCUCACUGA
rnacentral:rRNA from 1 species